rnacentral:rRNA from 1 species
UACGGAGGGUGCAAACGUUGCUCGGAAUCAUUGGGCGUAAAGCGCACGUAGGCGGACUGUUAAGUCGGACGUGAAAUCCCUCAGCUUAACUGAGGAAGUGCAUUCGAAACUGGCAGUCUUGAGUACGGGAGAGGGUCGCGGAAUUCCCGGUGUAGAGGUGAAAUUCGUAGAUAUCGGGAGGAACACCAGUGGCGAAGGCGGCGGCCUGGACCGAUACUGACGCUGAGGUGCGAAAGCGGUGGGGAGCAAACAGG